GGCGAGAUGUCCGAGUGGUCUAAGGAGUGUGACUCAAGCUAUACAUGGCUUGCCCCGUUCAAGGGUUUCUCAUCAGCGUAUGCUGGCAGGGGUUCGAAUCCCCUUCUCGUCA
rfam:Fistulina hepatica ATCC 64428 unplaced genomic scaffold FISHEscaffold_117, whole genome shotgun sequence.